GACGAACGCUGGCGGCGUGCUUAACACGUGCAAGUCGAACGGAAAGGCCCUGCUUUUGUGGGGUGCUCGAGUGGCGAACGGGUGAGUAACACGUGAGUAACCUGCCCUUGACUUUGGGAUAACUUCAGGAAACUGGGGCUAAUACCGGAUAGGAGCUCCUGCUGCAUGGUGUGGGUUGGAAAGUUUCGGCGGUUGGGGAUGGACUCGCGGCUUAUCAGCUGGUUGGUGGGGUAGUGGCUUACCAAGGCUUUGACGGGUAGCCGGCCUGGGAGGGUGACCGGCCACAUUGGGACUGAGAUACGGCCCAGACUCCUACGGGAGGCAGCAGUGGGGAAUAUUGCACAAUGGGCGGAAGCCUGAUGCAGCAACGCCGCGUGCGGGAUGACGGCCUUCGGGUUGUAAACCGCUUUCGCCUGUGACGAAGCGUGAGUGACGGUAAUGGGUAAAGAAGCACCGGCUAACUACGUG
rnacentral:rRNA from 1 species